UAGGGAAUCUUCGGCAAUGGGGGCAACCCUGACCGAGCAACGCCGCGUGAGUGAAGAAGGUUUUCGGAUCGUAAAGCUCUGUUGUAAGAGAAGAACGUGUGUGAGAGUGGAAAGUUCACACAGUGACGGUAACUUACCAGAAAGGGACGGCUAACUACGUGCCAGCAGCCGCGGUAAUACGUAGGUCCCGAGCGUUGUCCGGAUUUAUUGGGCGUAAAGCGAGCGCAGGCGGUUUAAUAAGUCUGAAGUUAAAGGCAGUGGCUUAACCAUUGUUCGCUUUGGAAACUGUUAAACUUGAGUGCAGAAGGGGAGAGAGGAAUUCCAUGUGUAGCGGUGAAAUGCGUAGAUAUAUGGAGGAACACCGGUGGCGAAAGCGGCUCUCUGGUCUGUAACUGACGCUGAGGCUCGAAAGCGUGGGGAGCAAACAGG
rnacentral:rRNA from 1 species